rnacentral:rRNA from 1 species
CAAUAGCGUAUAUUAAAGUUGUUGCAGUUAAAAAGCUCGUAGUUGGAUUUCUGGUGGGAGCGAUCGGUCUGGCGCUUAGCGCGAGUACUUGCAUCGUCUCCGGCCAUCCUUGGGGAGAGUCUGUCUGGCAUUGGGUUGUCGGGCAGAGGAUCCUCAUCGUUUACUGUGAAAAAAUUAGAGUGUUCAAAGCAGGCUUAUGCCGUUGAAUAUAUUAGCAUGGAAUAAUAAGAUAGGACUUUGGUACUAUUUUGUUGGUUUGCGCACCAAAGUAAUGAUUAAUAGGGACAGUUGGGGGUAUUCGUAUUCCGUUGUCAGAGGUGAAAUUCUUGGAUUUACGGAAGACGAACUACUGCGAAAGCAUUUACCAAGGAUGUUUUCAUUAA